rnacentral:rRNA from 1 species
CAGCCGCCGCGGUAAUACGUAGGUGGCAAGCGUUGUCCGGAAUUAUUGGGCGUAAAGCGUGCGCAGGCGGCUUUGCAAGACAGAUGUGAAAUCCCCGGGCUCAACCUGGGAACUGCAUUUGUGACUGCAAGGCUAGAGUGCGGCAGAGGGAGAUGGAAUUCCGCGUGUAGCAGUGAAAUGCGUAGAUAUGCGGAGGAACACCGAUGGCGAAGGCAAUCUCCUGGGCCUGCACUGACGCUCAUGCACGAAAGCGUGGGGAGCGAACAGGAUUAGAUACCCCGGUAGUCCCUGUCUCUUAUAC